AUACUUGCCUGGCAAGGGAGAUACCGCAAUCACGCAGGUGGUUUUCCCAGGGCAAGGCUUAUCCAUUGUACUCAGGAUGUGCUGACCCCUGUGAUUUCCCCAAAUGUGGGAAACUCAACUGCACAACGUGUGGUAGUGGGGACUGCGUUUGCACUUUUUG
ensembl:snRNA U1 U1 spliceosomal RNA